UAGGGAAUCUUCGGCAAUGGGGGGAACCCUGACCGAGCAACGCCGCGUGAGUGAAGAAGGAUUUCGGUUCGUAAAACUCUGUUGUUAGAGAAGAACAGCGCAUAGAGUAACUGUUAUGCGUGUGACGGUAUCUAACCAGAAAGCUACGGCUAACUACGUGCCAGCAGUCGCGGUAAUACGUAGGUGGCAAGCGUUGUCCGGAUUUAUUGGGCGUAAAGCGAGCGCAGGCGGUCAAUUAAGUCUGAUGUGAAAGCCCCCGGCUCAACCGGAGAGGAUCAUUGGAAACUGGUUGACUUGAGUGCAGAAGAGGAGAGUGGAAUUCCAUGUGUAGCGGAGAAAUGCGUAGAUAUAUGGAGGAACACCAGUGGCGAAGGCGACUCUCUGGUCUGUAACUGACGAGGAGGCUCGAAAGCGUGGGUAGCAAACAGG
rnacentral:rRNA from 1 species